rnacentral:rRNA from 1 species
UACGUAGGUGACAAGCGUUGUCCGGAUUUACUGGGCGUAAAGAGCGCGCAGGCGGUCGUUCAAGUCGAGUGUGAAAGCCCGGGGCUUAACCCCGGGUCUGCAUUCGAUACGGGCUAGCUAGAGUGUGGUAGGGGAGAUCGGAAUUCCUGGUGUAGCGGUGAAAUGCGCAGAUAUCAGGAGGAACACCGAUGGCGAAGGCAGAUCUCUGGGCCGUAACUGACGCUGAGGAGCGAAAGCAUGGGGAGCGAACAGG